GCGCCUGUAGCUCAGUUGGAUAGAGCGCCGGUUUCCUAAACUGGAGGUCACAGGUUCGAUCCCUGUCAGGCGCACCA
rnacentral:tRNA from 1 species